AUUGAACGCUGGCGGCAGGCUUAACACAUGCAAGUCGAGCGAGCGGCGGACGGGUGAGUAAUGUCUGGGAAACUGCCUGAUGGAGGGGGAUAACUACUGGAAACGGUAGCUAAUACCGCAUACCAUCAGAUGUGCCCAGAUGGGAUUAGCUUGUAGGUGGGGUAAUGGCUCACCUAGGCGACGAUCCCUAGCUGGUCUGAGAGGGUGACGGGCAAAACUGGAACUGGGCAACGUUCCUGACUCCUACGGGAGGCAGCAGUGGGGAAUAUUGCACAAUGGGCGAAAGCCUGAUGCAGCCAUGCCGCGUGUGUGAAGAAGGCCUUCGGGUUGUAAAGCACUUUCAGCGAGGAGGCGUUACUCGCAGAAGAAGCACCGGCUAACUCCGUGCCAGCAGCCGCGGUAAUUC
rnacentral:rRNA from 1 species